GACGAACGCUGGCGGCGUGCUUAACACAUGCAAGUCGAACGGAAAGGCCCUGCUUUUGUGGGGUGCUCGAGUGGCGAACGGGUGAGUAACCCGUGAGUAACCUGCCCUUGACUUUGGGAUAACUUCAGGAAACUGGGGCUAAUACCUGAUAGGAGCUCCUGCUGCAUGGUGGGGGUUGGAAAGUUUCGGCGGUUGGGGAUGGACUCGCGGGUUAUCAGCUUGUUGGUGGGGUAGUGGCUUACCAAGGCUUUGACGGGUAGCCGGCCUGAGAGGGUGACCGGCCACAUUGGGACUGAGGUACGGCCCAGACUCCUACGGGGGGCAGCGGUGGGGAAUAUUGCACAAUGGGCGGAAGCCUGAUGCAGCAACGCCGCGUGCGGGAUGACGGCCUUCGGGUUGUAAACCGCUUUCGCCUGUGACGAAGCGUGAGUGACGGUAAUGGGUAAAGAAGCACCGGCUAACUACGUG
rnacentral:rRNA from 1 species